AAAAACGUGGUUGUUGCGACAUAACACGACACGUAUAGAAGGAGACAGGGCUAUUUCUAAGUGUAAUGUUUGUUAUGGAUACGAAAAAUAUUGUUACUGGACUUAAAAACACAGAAAUAUUGGAUACAAAAAUGGCAGAAACAUUGAAGAGAAAGAAAACUCGACGUGGAAAGAAAAAUCGAAUGCGGAAGUCACCAGUCUAUAUCCUGGCUCAAGUCUGACUUCCCAGCCCUCACGGAAGUCUAACUUCUCAUGCCAGAAAGUAUAAUUUCCAGCCAUCUGCUGCCAACAGCUGAGCCAGGAGGUUGACUAAACUGUCAAUUCUUACGGGACACUCGGGAUAAAUGAGAAGAGGGUUGAAGCUUUUGAAGCCUGGGACCGUACACUUCUUGGUGAUGCUUGAGCACUGAGGAUUUGUGAUGUCCGAGAUCGUAUGCUUCUUGGGGUGGUCUGAGCGCUAGAUACUACCUCUGAGUGUUGAAUGGACUCUUCCAAAACAUCAACAACAUCUUGCAAACUGUUCAAGGCCUCCUCUCCCACACCAACUAGAAGGAGUUUUCAGAAAAUUUAUUCUAAUUUGAAUAACUCUUGUUGGACAUGUACGAGUACUAGUAUACAAAGCUGAACCAGGCUUCAAGUUUCUAAAAUAUAAUUUGGAAACCAGUCUAUUUGGCCUUUCUCACUGGUCAGUUUUAAGAAUCUAAUUCUGUACAUACGAGACUGGUUUCCAAACUCAGUUUUAUAACAUGGAAAAACUUGGGAUGAACCCAGCAUUAAAUUGUUGAUCAAUCAUAAAUAGAAGAUUGUCUUUUGA
rnacentral:misc_RNA from 1 species